rnacentral:misc_RNA from 1 species
AGAGACCGCCACUUUCUCGUCGUAAACGCUGUCACUGAUGACAAAAUAAGAUUUAUAACAAUAUAAAUAUAUGCUGUCCCUGAAUUCCUAGCAUAUAACAGUUCUUAGGUAACAUUGUGACACUUACAAGGAUGCCGUCGAUCAAAAGAUGUCGAUUGGUGUGUCCCAACAACACACACGACCCCAUCCCCCUCCCCGACGGAGAGCCUGUACACCUGGGUAGGAGUGAGGCUACACGCUGUAUCGAUCCCCGAUGUUCUAGAAAACAAUGUAAGUACAGAGUCUUUCCUUCCAUGUCAUUCAAUUUAGAAGUCUUUAAGUGUUUAGAUCGUUUUUUAUUGAAUUUGCAUGUACCUUUGGCAUUAACUGAUUAAUAUAAGGCUAGUGCAAUGAUAAAACCAUCUUAAAACCAUUUGUUGUGUUUAUGAUGUUUAAGUGGAGGUGACAGCGGACUGGGCAUCAGGGGAAGUCUCUGUUAAGCAGCUGGGAGCAAACUCAUCGGCCAUCGAUGGAAUAGAACUAGAGAAGGAUAGAGUAUGCAAGCUUCCAGAGGGGGGAACUAUAUAUCUUUUAACAGGGAUGUAUCCUCAAAAAGUAGAAUUUAUUCAUGAUCCAUCCCCCAAGUCAACGACAGGUAGUAAAAAUCAGAAAUGUGAAAACAAAACAACAGAGAAAAAGAGGGAAUCAAAGAAAAGGCCUGCAUCAGAGAGUUUAGAUUCGCAUCAAAAUUUGAAAAAACCUCGAAAAACUGAAAAAGAGAAACAAAUGAACACUUCUGAGAAUGGAUCAGCUGAUAAAACUGUAGAAGAGGAUGAAGAAGAUAUAAAAAAGCUGGAAGAAAAGUUAAAACUUCUCAAGAAAAAUGCAGCCGACAAAAAGUUUGCUUUUGCCUCAGACAGUGAAGGUUCACAAACUGAUAACAAACAGAAAGCAACAGAUGUAAAAAAGAAACCGAAAGCUGAAAAGGAAACAUUGUCUUCAAAAUCUUCUUCACCUGCCACAUCUAUGAAAAGUCCAUCAAAAGGUCCCUCCUUGUCCAAAACCUCACCAUCAGGACCAAUGAAGAAGUCCCCCCAGAAAUCAGAAGGGCCCCCAGCUGAGGAGACAAAGUGGCAGCAGUUUGAGAAACUGUAUGUUUGUACCCGAAAAGGAGUCAGGGCCAGAAAUAAGGUUGCAGGAUUUGACAUAGAUGGCACCAUCAUCACCACACAGUCUGGGAAAACUUUCCCCACCCACCCAGGGGACUGGAGGUAUGUCUAGCAUGACCAGUGUCUUGUCAGAACUCUCUGCAAAGGAUACAUGUACAGUAUGAAUUAAUAUCACUUCAAAAAUACAAAUGACUUUCAUGAAUUGAAUAUUGUUAACGUUAUACCACGUCGCUACACAAAGAGAUCUUUGUGUAGUGACAUUGAAUUUGUUGGAGCAGAUCAAAGAUCUGAUUUUAAUCAGAUUGCCACAUUUAAUUGAUGUUUCACCUUUUUUGCCCAUGUGUUGAUGGGCGAAUUUGGGCAAAUUCUAAUGUGAAAAUAACCCUGUAUACAGUAUAUCAGGAAUUUUGUUUUUCAUGAACAGUCUGUUGUUUCAGGAUUCUUUAUCCAGAGAUUCCGGGAAGGUUGAAAAAGUUACAUGAAGAUGGUUACAAGAUUGUCUUCUUUACUAACCAGCUGGGUGUUUCUAAAGGGAAGACAUCCAUUGAUGAUCUAAAGACUAAGUUUAGCAGUGUUCUGGACAAACUUGGUGUCUCAGCCCAGAUUCUGAUCUCCACUGGUGGAGGGAUUUACAGGAAGCCAGCCAGAGGGAUGUGGGACUUCAUGUGUCUGAAAGGAAAUGACAGUGUAAGAGUUGAUAUUGAUGAAAGCCUGUAUGUUGGAGAUGCUGCUGGUCGACCAGAGAAGUGGGCAGCUAAACGGAAAAAGGAUUUCUCCUGCAGUGAUAGACUGUUUGCAUUGAACAUUGGAGUGAAGUUUUACACCCCUGAGGAGUUUUUCAUGUUCCAGAAAGCGGCUCCUUUUAACAUGCCAGAAUUUGAUCCUAGGGCAAUAGACACCAGUGCACCCCUUCUGGACCCUCCCAGUGCCUCCAUCACCUCCAAGUCCCAGGAAGUGGUCCUGUUGGUGGGGUUCCCAGCCUGUGGAAAAUCCUUCUUUUCACAAACCAACCUGAUUCCCAAAGGAUAUGUACAUGUCAAUAGGGACACACUGGGAACAUGGAAGAAAUGUGUGGACAUGUGUGCUAAAUCUCUGAGACAGGGACAGAGUGUGGUCAUUGACAACACCAACCCAGACAAGGAGUCCAGACAGAGAUACAUAAAUUGUGCAAAGACAGCUAAGGUUCCCUGCCGGUGUUUCUAUUUUACUGCAACUAUUACACAGGCUCGGCACAACGAACGGUACAGAGAGAUGAUUGACAAGUCGCACCAACCAAUCAAUGACAUGAUCAUGAAUACAUUCAAAUCAAAGCUAAAAGUUCCCGAGUCAUCUGAAGGCUUCACAGAAAUUGUACGGGUUAAUUUUGUUCCAAAGUUCAAGGACUCUGAAAAUGAGAAGUUGUACAAGCAAUACCUGCUGGAAAAAUAAAAUGUGGAACAUUUUGUUUUUAAUUACUGCAUGAGUAGUAAAAAAUAAAUUAGUUUUCU